CAGCCGUAAACAAUGUGCGUUAGGUGUGUCGGUAACCACGCGUUACUGAUGCGCCGAAGAGAAAUCGUGAAACGCACCACCUGGGAAGUACGGCCGCAAGGCUGAAACUUAAAGGAAUUGGCGGGGGAGCACCACAACAGGUGGAGCCUGCGGUUUAAUUGGAUUCAACGCCGGACAUCUCACCGGAUAAGACAGCUGAAUGAUUGUCAAUCUGAAGGUUUUACAUGACUAGCUGAGAGGUGGUGCAUGGCGUCAGUGACU
rnacentral:rRNA from 1 species